rnacentral:rRNA from 1 species
UAAUACCAGCACCCCGAGUGGUCGGGACGUUUAUUGGGCCUAAAGCAUCCGUAGCCGGUUCUACAAGUCUUCCGUUAAAUCCACCUGCUUAACAGAUGGGCUGCGGAAGAUACUAUAGAGCUAGGAGGCGGGAGAGGCAAGCGGUACUCGAUGGGUAGGGGUAAAAUCCGUUGAUCCAUUGAAGACCACCAGUGGCGAAGGCGGCUUGCCAGAACGCGCUCGACGGUGAGGGAUGAAAGCUGGGGGAGCAAACCGG